UGGGGUAUAGCCAAAUUAGGUAAGGCUUUCGCUUUUGGUGCGAAGAUUAUAGGUUCAAAUCCUAUUACCCCAA
rnacentral:tRNA from 1 species